rnacentral:rRNA from 1 species
AUUGAACGCUGGCGGCAGGCCUAACACAUGCAAGUCGAGCGGUAGCAUUUCUAGCUUGCUAGAAGAUGACGAGCGGCGGACGGGUGAGUAGUACUUGGGGAUCUGCCUGAUGGAGGGGGACAACCACUGGAAACGGUGGCUAAUACCGCAUAACGCCUACGGGCCAAAGUGGGGGCUCUUCGGACCUCACGCCAUCAGAUGAACCCAAGCGAGAUUAGCUAGUAGGUAAGGUAACGGCUUACCUAGGCGACGAUCUCUAGCUGGUCUGAGAGGAUGAUCAGCCACACUGGGACUGAGACACGGCCCAGACUCCUACGGGAGGCAGCAGUGGGGAAUAUUGGACAAUGGGGGCAACCCUGAUCCAGCCAUGCCGCGUGUGUGAAGAGGGCCUUCGGGUUGUAAAGCACUUUCAGUGGUGAGGAAGGUGGUGUUGUUAAUAGCAGCAUCAAUUGACGUUAGCCACAGAAGAAGCACCGGCUAACUCCGUGCCAGCAGCCGCCGUAA